rnacentral:rRNA from 1 species
CACGUAGGGUGCGAGCGUUGUCCGGAAUUAUUGGGCGUAAAGAGCUCGUAGGCGGUGUGUCGCGUCGGCCGUGAAAACCUGCAGCUUAACUGUGGGCUUGCGGUCGAUACGGGCAUCACUGGAGUUCGGCAGGGGAGACUGGAAUUCCUGGUGUAGCGGUGAAAUGCGUAGAUAUCAGGAGGAACACCGGUGGCGAAGGCGGGUCUCUGGGCAAUUCCUGACGCUGAGGCGCGAAAGCGUGGGGAGCAAACGGG